rnacentral:pre_miRNA from 1 species
AAAAAGACAAACCCUGGGUUUCCGUGUCCAACGUUUGACUGUCCGUCUUAUAUAAAAUUUUUUUAUAAUUAGUAUUUUCAUUGUUGUUAGAUGAUAAAACAUGAUUAAUACUUUAUGCGUGACUUGUCUUUUUAAUUUUUUUCAUAAAUUUUUCAAAUAAGACGGACGGUCAAACGUUGGACACGAAAACCCAAGGUUUGUCUUUUU